rnacentral:lncRNA from 1 species
AAUUCUGUUGUGUGCACAUCACAGAGUACACUUACACAAACCUAGAUGGAAGAGCCUACUGCACACCUAGGCUGAAUGGGACCAGCCUGGCCAACAUGUUGAAACCUCAACUCUACUAAAAAUACAAAAAUUAGCCAGGCUUGGUGGCAUGUGCCUGUAAUCUCAGCUACUUGGGAGGCUGAGGCAGGAGAAUCACUUGAACCUGGGUGGUGGAGGUUGCAGUGAGCCGAGAUCACCCCACUGCACUCCAGCCUGGGCGACAGAGCAAGACUGACUCAAUUUAAAAAAAAAAAGAUAAAAAUGGUGCAUCUCUAUAGGGCGUUUACCAUGCCUGGAGCUUGUGGGACUGGAAGUUGCUCUGGAAUCACUUCCUGGCUGGGAAUUGAACCCAGACUGCUGCAGUGAAAGAGCAUAAUGUUAGCUACUGGCCCACAGCAUGAGACUCCCGGUCCUGUUUGUUGCUCAUCCCCAGAUACGCAGCCUGGUCUACAGGAAGAAUUCUAUGUAUAUUUGCUGAAGAGACAAAGAAGGAUGUGGAUGAAUUGGAUGUGGAGAAUGAGAGGAAAGAAAAUGUCAAGGAUGGCUCUAAUUUCUGGCUUAUGCAACUGAGUGGUGCCAUUGAGAGAGCAGACUCUCUCUCUUGCCUUCUUGGUUGGCACACUGGGGAGAAGCGAGCUGCAGCGUUGGAGAGGCCCAUGUGGCAAGGGACUGAGAGCAGCCUCUGGCCAACAGC